UUUUUCCUCUCCUUCUUUUUCCAUGUCUCUCUCUUUCUUUCUGUCUCUCUCUCUCUCAUAGUUCCAGGAUUUAUCAAAACACAAUCCACGGGCAGGAAA
rnacentral:ribozyme from 1 species